rnacentral:lncRNA from 1 species
CCAUGGUGACGGUUGCCAUGGUGCCCGCAGGCGGCAGGGGUGACCAUCGUGGACCACCACGCGGUGACCGAGUCCUUCCAGCGGCACCUGGGGGCGGAGCUGGGGGCGCGGGGGGGGACCCCGGCCGACUGGGCCUGGAUCGUGCCCCCCCUGGGGGGCAGCCUCACCCCCGUCUUCCACCAGGAGAUGGUCAACUACCAGCUCAGCCCCGCCUUCCGCUACCAGCCCGACGCCUGGAAGGUCUACGUCCCCAAGGGCACCACCAUCACCAGGAGAAAGACCUUCAAGGAGGUGGCCAACGCCGUGAAGAUCUCGGCCAAGCUGAUGGGUCACGUCAUGGCCCGGAGGGUGAAGGUCACCAUCCUCUACGCCACCGAGACCGGCAAAUCCCGCACCUACGCCUGGAACCUCUGCCAGCUCUUCCGAAGGGCCUUCGACCCCAAGGUUGGGGGGCGACUUAUGGGGCGGGGGGGUCUGGGUGGGGGGAGGCGCCGCCGGAGGCGUGGUGGACCUCCAUCCUGACGUCCCCACCUCCCCGAAGGUCCUGUGCAUGGACGAGUACGACGUGGUGGCCCUGGAGCACGAGACGCUGGUCCUGGUGGUCACCAGCACCUUCGGGAAUGGGGACCCUCCGGAAUGUGGGGAGGUGGGGUGGGAGGAACUGGGAUGGACUGGGAUGGGAUGGAAUGGGAUGGGAUGGGGACAGGAUGGGAGGAACUGGGAUGGGAUGGGGAUGGGGUGAGGAUGGGAG